rnacentral:rRNA from 1 species
GACGAACGCUGGCGGCGCGCUUAACACAUGCAAGUCGAACGGAAAGGCCUGAUUUCCCUUUUGGUUUGCGGGUACUCGAGUGGCGAACGGAUACGUAACACACCAGUGAUCUGCCCCCAACUUAGUUAGAAGCCUGGGAAAUUAUGUCUAAUUCCAGAUAGAACUGCAGGGUGGUAACUUGGGUGGAGAACUUUUUUCUAGUGAUUGGGGAAGCGCUCGCGGCCUAUCAGCUUGUUGGUGGGGUAAAGGCCUACCAAGGCGGCGAGGGGUAGUCGGCCUGGGAGGGUGCACGGUCACAUUGGGACAGAGUUCCGGCCCAGACGCGUACGGGAGGCAGGAGUUGGUAAGAGAGGAGAAUGGGCGGAAGCCUGAUGCGGCGAGGCCGCGUGGGGGAUGUCGGCAUUGGGGUUGUAAGCUCCUUUCGACGGCGAGGUAUCCACCUGGGUGGAAGGGUGGUGACGGUAGUGGUAGAAGAAGCACCGGCUAACUACGUG